rnacentral:rRNA from 1 species
GACGAACGCUGGCGGCGUGCUUAACACAUGCAAGUCGAACGGAAAGGCCCUGCUUUUGUGGGGUGCUCGAGUGGCGAACGGGUGAGUAACACGUGAGUAACCUGCCCUUGACUUUGGGAUAACUUCAGGAAACUGGGGCUAAUACCGGAUAGGAGCUCCUGCUGCAUGGUGGGGGUUGGAAAGUUUCGGCGGUUGGGGAUGGACUCGCGGCUUAUCAGCUUGUUGGUGGGGUAGUGGCUUACCAAGGCUUUGACGGGUAGCCGGCCUGAGAGGGUGACCGGCCACAUUGGGACUGAGAUACGGACCAGACUCCUACGGGAGGCAGCAGUGGGGAAUAUUGCCCAAUGGGCGGAAGCCUGAUGCAGCAACGCCGCGUGCGGGAUGACGGCCUUCGGGUUGUAAACCGCUUUCGCCUGUGACGAAGCGUGAGUGACGGUAAUGGGUAUAGAAGCACCGGCUAACUACGUG